GGAGAGGUGGCUGAGUGGUCGAAAGCGGCGGUCUUGAAAACCGGUGAGGGCAACCCCCCCCCCAGGGUUCGAAUCCCUGUCUCUCCG
rnacentral:tRNA from 1 species